rnacentral:lncRNA from 1 species
CAACUGUUAGAAAACUGGAUCGAUAGCAUGUAAAGAUUUUAAAAUUUUAUCAAAAAUACAGCGAAAAAAUAAAAUGGGUUAAACCCUUUAACCCCACAUGUAAAAGAUCAAAUCUAAUCCUACACAAGUCUAGGAGAAAAUAUAUAUAUACAAUCUAAAAUUUAGAGAUAAGUAUGAGAUCAGAUCUCAUUAUCUUGGUGCAGAUAGAUAUUCACUACUUUUGAUGAUUACAGAUUCGU